GACGAACGCUGGCGGCGUGCCUAAUACAUGCAAGUCGAACGCAUUUUCUUUCACCGUAGCUUGCUACACCGAAAGAAAAUGAGUGGCGAACGGGUGAGUAACACGUGGGUAACCUGCCCAUCAGCGGGGGAUAACACUUGGAAACAGGUGCUAAUACCGCAUAAUUCCAUUUACCGCAUGGUAGAUGGAUGAAAGGCGCUUUUGCGUCACUGAUGGAUGGACCCGCGGUGCAUUAGCUAGUUGGUGGGGUAACGGCCUACCAAGGCUGCGAUGCAUAGCCGACCUGAGAGGGUGAUCGGCCACACUGGGACUGAGACACGGCCCAGACUCCUACGGGAGGCAGCAGUAGGGAAUCUUCGGCAAUGGACACAAGUCUGACCGAGCAACGCCGCGUGAGUGAAGAAGGUUUUCGGAUCGUAAAACUCUGUUGUUAGAGAAGAACAAGGAUGAGAGUGGAAAGUUCAUCCCUUGACGGUAUCUAACAAGAAAGCCACGGCUAACUACGUG
rnacentral:rRNA from 1 species